GACGAACGCUGGCGGCGUGCUUAACACAUGCAAGUCGAACGGUGACGCACCUUCGGGUGCUGAUCAGUGCUGAACGGGUGAGUAACACGUGGGCAACCUGCCCCUGACUCUGGGAUAACUCCUCGAAAGAGGUGCUAAUACCGGAUAUCACCUCCCUCGGCAUCGGGGGAGGUUGAAAGUUUUUCGGUCAGGGAUGGGCCCGCGGCCUAUCAGCUAGUUGGUGGGGUAACGGCCCACCAAGGCGACGACGGGUAGCCGGCCUGAGAGGGCGACCGGCCACACUGGGACUGAGACACGGCCCAGACUCCUACGGGAGGCAGCAGUGGGGAAUAUUGCGCAAUGGGCGAAAGCCUGACGCAGCAACGCCGCGUGAGGGAUGACGGCCUUCGGGUUGUAAACCUCUUUCAGCGGGGACGAAGCGAAAGUGACUGUACCCGCAGAAGAAGCGCCGGCUAACUACGUGCCAGCCGCCGCCGUAAUAC
rnacentral:rRNA from 1 species